UACGUAGGGUGCGAGCGUUGUCCGGAAUUAUUGGGCGUAAAGAGCUCGUAGGCGGUGUGUCGCGUCGGCCGUGAAAACCUGCAGCUUAACUGUGGGCGUGCGGUCGAUACGGGCAUCACUGGAGUUCGGCAGGGGAGACUGGAAUUCCAGGUGUAGCGGUGAAAUGCGUAGAUAUCUGGAGGAACACCGGUGGCGAAGGCGGCAUCCUGGACCGACACUGACGCUGAGGAGCGAAAGCCAGGGGAGCAAACGGG
rnacentral:rRNA from 1 species